rnacentral:rRNA from 1 species
GAGCGGAUGAAGGGAGCUUGCUCCCUGAUUCAGCGGCGGACGGGUGAGUAAUGCCUAGGAAUCUGCCUGGUAGUGGGGGACAACGUUUCGAAAGGAACGCUAAUACCGCAUACGUCCUACGGGAGAAAGCAGGGGACCUUCGGGCCUUGCGCUAUCAGAUGAGCCUAGGUCGGAUUAGCUAGUUGGUGAGGUAAUGGCUCACCAAGGCGACGAUCCGUAACUGGUCUGAGAGGAUGAUCAGUCACACUGGAACUGAGACACGGUCCAGACUCCUACGGGAGGCAGCAGUGGGGAAUAUUGGACAAUGGGCGAAAGCCUGAUCCAGCCAUGCCGCGUGUGUGAAGAAGGUCUUCGGAUUGUAAAGCACUUUAAGUUGGGAGGAAGGGCAGUAAGCGAAUACCUUGCUGUUUUGACGUUACCGACAGAAUAAGCACCGGCUAACUCUGUG